GAUGAACGCUAGCGGCAGGCCUAACACAUGCCAGUCGAGGGAGAAGCCCUUUCGGGGGCCGAAACCGGCGCACGGGUGCGUAACGCGUAUGCAACCUACCUUUCACAGGGGGAUAGCCCGAAGAAAUUUGGAUUAAUACCCCAUAAUAUUAUUGGAUGGCAUCAUUUGAUAAUUAAAACUGCGGUGGUGAAAGAUGGGCAUGCGUCCUAUUAGCUAGUUGGAGUGGUAACGGCACCCCAAGGCUACGAUAGGUAGGGGUCCUGAGAGGGAGAUCCCCCACACUGGUACUGAGACAGGGACCAGACUCCUACGGGAGGCAGCAGUGAGGAAUAUUGGUCAAUGGUCGGAAGACUGAACCAGCCAUGCCGCGUGCAGGAAGAAUGCCUUAUGGGUUGUAAACUGCUUUUAUAUGGGAAGAAUAAGGCGUACGUGUACGUUGAUGACGGUACCAUAUGAAUAAGCAUCGGCUAACUCCGUG
rnacentral:rRNA from 1 species